AACCAAAUUUUACAUGAUUAUAUUUUAUUUUGAAAUCUUCAAUAUAUUUCUUGGGUUUGUGUUUACAUAUUUGUAAAUGACCAUUACUUCUUGUUACUGCCUCCAGAUGGGCUACUCCCUAUAUAUUGUGGACUAUAUGGGAAGGCCCUGCCUAAAAGGGCUCUCAUUAAAGGCUGUUGGUUCGUGUACAUGAAAGAAGAGGAAUUCCAAGAGAGGGAUUAUACAAAAACAUGGCAUUGUUUAUUUUAAACAAGGUCAAGUGGUUACUGACGUGCCUUAAGAUUUAUUAAAAGAGAUUACCUGUAAUUACACCCUCAUGUGGGUAUGUGGAAAGGAACGUUUGAUUUAAAUGUCGCUGUCUAUUGCUGCAGUUGUUGUCAAAACUCCGUUGAUCCACUCGAUGUAAAUCAACUUGUGAGUGAAGGGUAUUUGCCUGCUAAUUUAGCAAAUACCCAACACCUCUUUUCUCAAGAUCUUCUCACCAAGUGGGAUUUACUUCAAUAGCACCUCCCUGGAUCAUCUGAAAGUGGUUUUCUCAGAUCUUUGGAAGAUUUCUCUAUUUUAAGAGGAAGGGCUGGUGUUAUAAAUGACUCUGCAUUUAAAGAAUGGAAGUCCUGCAACCAUGAGAUUAAUUUGCUACAAUUCAAGGACUUUAUGGUAUGCCCAGCCUGUGCUACCUAUCACCACUCAGCCCAUGUGGACAGCAAUGCCAAGUUGUAUCGUUACAAGUCAGCUGGAGAGUGAGAAACCUGUCAUUUAACUUGCAUUUAAUGUAUGUAAUUGUUUCUCCUAAAUAAGGACAACAAUUAUUAAUGGCCUUCUUUCCAGGUGGUUGGUAACAGUGAAGUAGCAUCUCAAAGUUGCACCUCUUUUAUCUUUUAUGCAUCGCUUCUCACUUGGAGGGCUAAUGAUGAAAGUUUUUGUUAUUUUUUGAAAGCCAUAAGCUAUUUUGUUGUAUUAAAUUAAUGUUCCAAAUUGUAAUUGAUAAUAGACAAGUAUUUUCUUGAUUUUUUUCUCCCUCCUUAUACACAUGUAAGUAAUUUCUUAUAGGUUGU